GAGUUUGAUCAUGGCUCAGGAUGAACGCUAGCGGCAGGCCUAACACAUGCAAGUCGAGGGGUAACAGGAGAGAGCUUGCUCUUUUGCUGACGACCGGCGCACGGGUGCGUAACGCGUAUACAAUCUGCCUUAUACAGGAGGAUAGCCUUUAGAAAUGAAGAUUAAUACUCCAUAGUCUAUUAAUAUAGCAUUAUAUAAAUAGUAAAGCUACGGCGGUAUAAGAUGAGUAUGCGUCCUAUUAGUUAGUUGGUAAGGUAACGGCUUACCAAGGCGACGAUAGGUAGGGGCCCUGAGAGGGGGAUCCCCCACACUGGUACUGAGACACGGACCAGACUCCUACGGGAGGCAGCAGUGAGGAAUAUUGGACAAUGGGCGAGAGCCUGAUCCAGCCAUGCCGCGUGCAGGAAGACGGCCCUAUGGGUUGUAAACUGCUUUUAUAUAGGAAGAAACCAUCUCCCGUGAGAGAUAUUGACGGUACUAUAAGAAUAAGGACCGGCUAACUCCGUGCCAGCAGCCGCGGUAAUACGGAGGGUCCGAGCGUUAUCCGGAAUCAUUGGGUUUAAAGGGUCCGUAGGCGGGAAUCUAAGUCAGUGGUGAAAUCUUGCAGCUCAACUGUAAAAUUGCCAUUGAUACUGGAUUUCUUGAAUUAGUGUGAAGUGGUUAGAAUGUGUAGUGUAGCGGUGAAAUGCAUAGAUAUUACACAGAAUACCAAUUGCGAAGGCAGAUCACUAACACUAUAUUGACGCUGAGGGACGAAAGCGUGGGGAGCGAACAGGAUUAGAUACCCUGGUAGUCCACGCCGUAAACGAUGGAUACUAGCUGUUCGGUCUUCGGAUUGAGUGGCUAAGCGAAAGUGAUAAGUAUCCCACCUGGGGAGUACGUUCGCAAGAAUGAAACUCAAAGGAAUUGACGGGGG
rnacentral:rRNA from 1 species